rnacentral:rRNA from 1 species
CAGGCCUAACACAUGCAAGUCGAACGAGAAAGGGGAGCAAUCCCUGAGUAAAGUGGCGCACGGGUGAGUAACACGUGACUAACCUACCCUCGAGCGGGGAAUAACCAAGGGAAACCUUGGCUAAUACCGCAUAAUACCUACGGGUCAAAGGAGUAAUCCACUUGAGGAGGGGGUCGCGGCCGAUUAGCUAGUUGGCGGGGUAAUGGCCCACCAAGGCAGUGAUCGGUAUCCGGCCUGAGAGGGCGCACGGACACACUGGAACUGAAACACGGUCCAGACUCCUACGGGAGGCAGCAGUGGGGAAUUUUGCGCAAUGGGGGAAACCCUGACGCAGCAACGCCGCGUGGAGGAUGAAGUCCCUUGGGACGUAAACUCCUUUCGAUCGGGACGAUUAUGACGGUACCGGAAGAAGAAGCCCCGGCUAACUUCGUGCCAGCAGCCGCGGUAAUACGAGGGGGGCAAGCGUUGUUCGGAAUUAUUGGGCGUAAAGGGAGUGUAGGCGGUUUGGUAAGUCUCGUGUGAAAUCUUCAGGCUCAACCUGAAGUCUGCACGAGAAACUGCCGGGCUUGAGUAUGGGAGAGGUGAGUGGAAUUCCUGGUGUAGCGGUGAAAUGCGUAGAUAUCAGGAGGAACACCUGUGGCGAAAGCGGCUCACUGGACCAUAACUGACGCUGAGACUCGAAAGCUAGGGGAGCAAACAGGAUUAGAUACCCUGGUAGUCCUAGCCCUAAACGAUGACUGCUUGAUGUGGCGGGUACCCAACCUGCCGUGUCGAAGCUAACGCGUUAAGCAUCCGCCUGGGGAAGUACGGUCGCAAGGCUGAAACUCAAAGGAAUUGACGGGGGCCCGCACAAGCGGUGGAGCAUGUGGUCUAAUUCGACGCAACGCGAAGAACCUUACCUAGGCUCGAAAUGUACAGGAAUCCGGUGGAAACAUCGGCGUCCCGCAAGGGAUCUGUAUAUAGGUGCUGCAUGGCCGUCGUCAGCUCGUGUCGUGAGAUGUUGGGUUAAGUCCCGCAACGAGCGCAACCCUUACCGCCAGUUGCCAUCAUUCAGUUGGGCACUCUGGUGGAACCGCCUCGGAUAACGGGGAGGACGGUGGGGAUGACGUCAUGUCCUCAUGGCCUUUAUGUCUAGGGCUACACACGUGCUACAAUGGCCGAUACAAACCGCCGCAAACCCGCGAGGGGGAGCUAAUCGGAAAAAGUCGGCCUCAGUUCGGAUCGCAGUCUGCAACUCGACUGCGUGAAGCUGGAAUCGCUAGUAAUCGCGGAUCAGAAUGCCGCGGUGAAUACGUUCCCGGGCCUUGUACACACCGCCC